CUUGUGAGCAUAAGGUGUGUGCCUGAAAAACAGUGCCUGCUUCUGGUCAUCAUAGGUCCUUGAGAGAGAGAAGCCCCUAGCAGGAAGAAUCUGAAGUCAUCUUUGUGCCCAGAAGUUGAAGAAAGAGUCACAUGAGUAGCUUCAGCCUAGCAUCAUCCUGUAUCCAUGGGCCUGAGCAAGACCAUCCCUGAGCAGCUAGCAGCCCACCAGCCUGCAGUGACAUCAUUCUGCCAGCCUGGAGGAUGCAGCCCACAUCUCCUAUAUACAAGGUUUAAUAAUUGCAAAUUUUGGAUUUAUGUGGCUGUUUACUGAUUUACCUACUAAUGUUGCUGCUGCUGCUGCUGCUGCUAAGUCGCUUCAGUCGUGUCCAGCUCUGUGCGACCCCAUAGACGGCGGCCCGCCAGGCUCCCCCGUCCCUGGGAUUCUCCAGGCAAGAACACUGG